ACUCCUACGGGAGGCAGCAGUGGGGAAUAUUGGACAAUGGGGGGAACCCUGAUCCAGCCAUGCCGCGUGUGUGAAGAAGGCCUUAUGGUUGUAAAGCACUUUAAGCGAGGAGGAGGCUACUAGGUAUUAAUCUAACUACCUGGAUUCGGUGGACGUUACUCGCAGAAUAAGCACCGGCUAACUCUGUGCCAGCAGCCGCGGUAAUACAGAGGGUGCGAGCGUUAAUCGGAUUUACUGGGCGUAAAGCGUGCGUAGGCGGCCAUUUAAGUCAAAUGUGAAAUCCCCGAGCUUAACUUGGGAAUUGCAUUCGAUACUGGAUGGCUAGAGUAUGGGAGAGGAUGG
rnacentral:rRNA from 1 species